CCGCCCACGGCGUGCGGACCGUCGCCGCGCUCGAGCUGCGUCAGCGGGUGCGUUCGACGCGCUGGGUGGU
rnacentral:tRNA from 1 species